AAUCAACGCUGGCGGCGUGCCUCAGACAUGCAAGUCGAACGAUUAAAGCUCUCUUCGGAGAGUGUAUAGAGUGGCGCACGGGUGAGUAACACGUAAGUAAUCUACCUUUGAGUGGGGAAUAACAAUCGGAAACGAUUGCUAAUACCGCAUAAUGCAGCGGCAUCGCAAGAUGACAGUUGUUAAAGAUUUAUCGCUUGAAGAGGAGCUUGCGGCAGAUUAGCUAGUUGGUAAGGUAAUGGCUUACCAAGGCUACGAUCUGUAACCGGUCUAAGAGGACGGUCGGUCACACUGACACUGAAUAACGGGUCAGACUCCUACGGAGGCAGCAGUCGGGAAUUUUGGGCAAUGGGCGAAAGCCUGACCCAGCAACGCCGCGUGAAGGAUGAAGUAUUUCGGUAUGUAAACUUCGAAAGAAUGGGAAGAAUAAAUGACGGUACCAUUUAUAAGGUCCGGCUAACUACGUGCCAGCCGCCGCAGU
rnacentral:rRNA from 1 species